CCUACGGGAGGCAGCAGUGGGGAAUGUUGCACAAUGGGCGCAAGCCUGAUGCAGCCAUGCCGCGUGUGUGAAGAAGGCCUUCGGGUUGUAAAGCACUUUCAGCGAGGAGGAAGGGUUCAGUGUUAAUAGCACUGUGCAUUGACGUUACUCGCAGAAGAAGCACCGGCUAACUCCGUGCCAGCAGCCGCGGUAAU
rnacentral:rRNA from 1 species